GAAUAUAUACGAGUAGGUUGGCCAGAGUAACCUUGUGCGCUCUUGUGUAUAGGUAGAGACUAAGCAACGUCACCUCCCCGCCACGCUCGUACACCACAACAGGAUGACGAUGAUCUGCUGGGGAAUUCUGACGGCGACGCUGCUGAUGGUCUCCUUGCCUUGUAUCCAGUCGAAGAACCACACCUCCCUCUACCGUUGUCCUGAUGAGGUCUCCGCUCUAUGUCCACCCACGCCGGGAGAGCAGCCAGAGUACUUUGCCCAUCCGAACAACUGCGCCAUGUUCUGCGAGUGUGGGUUAAGGGGUGUGGCCUGGGAGCUGGUGUGUCAAUCUUCGCUGCUCUGGGAUGACACUAUCAAGAGUUGCAACUGGCCCCAAAUGGUGGACUGUGGAUCACGGCCUAUUCUUUAAACGUCCGGGACUCAGUUAAGGCGCCUCAAGCACCAUUCUCCCCCCUCCCCCCAGACAAACAGGUUGUUGUCGAUCGUUCUUUAAAAUGAUUAUUAUGGCGGUUCAUAAUAAUAAGUAUGUUUGUGUAAUCUUAUCCGAGUUUAAACGAGGGAAAACAUUAAUUCCUAGAUUACCAUAGUCCUCCCUAGGAAUUUGGGGAACCUAGUCCGUUUUCUCUAUUGCCACCUGCCAAAUCUUAAGGUUAUUGAGGAUAUCCUAAAAAAAAUAAAAAUAAACAACAUUCA